UCAUUGUACUCAUAAACCUUCAAUAAUAUUCAAUAAUUUUUUAUUUCAAAGUCGGAUCGGAUCGAAUAAUCUCCAAACCAUUUCAUCUUCACCUUUUUUUUCAUCAAACCACAAACAAUCAUCGUUCACUUAGGGCAUGUUUGUUUUGGUGUAAGUGGAGUGAUGGAACUCAAGUUCCAUCACUUCCGUUAUUUGUUUUGGUGUAAGUGAAAAAUAUAAUGUAACUUAAGUUACGUUAGAUCUCCAUUUCACCUAUUCUCGACUUCCUCCUCUAAAGUGCUGAACUCGACUUCCACCACACUCAACCUCCUCUAAAAUAUUUAUUAAACAGUAAAACCUAAACUCUACUUCCCUUAUAAUAGAUUAGAAUUACCUUAUUUAUAAUAAAUUAGGAUUAUCUUUAAAUAAUAAUAAAAAAUUAAUUAUAUAAUAAGUUAAAUUUUAUAGCGGUAAAUUUAUUAUUAUAUUUAGGAGAUAAUGAGAUCCAUUUACUUACAUCAAAACAAACAACAGAACUCACAAAACUAAUUUCACCGGCACCAAGUUACAUCAAAACAAAUAGAAAAAGUAAUUGAAUUUAACUUUCAGGCUAUACGAGUUACGUCAAAACAAACAACCAAAAAAUAAUCACACUUCAGGGAAACUCAAACACCACUGCACUUGACUUAUAUUGGAUCUACAGAUUCGUCAAUCCAAACGGAUUAGAGCCUGUUUGAAUGUUAUCUUUUUUGCAGUAUAGUUUAACUAUGCUAUGAGAAUAGAAAAAAUUUUCUAUGAGGUGUUUGGAGGGUUUAAAAACACACUAAUAAAUUAAAGUAUAGUUAAACUAUACUCUAAAAAAUAGGUUAAAAGUAAAGGGUUAAAUGCAUUCAUGUCCCUACAAACAUAGUGAAUUGCAAAUAUUUUCCUACAAAAUUCAACUUUCAUAUGUUGUCUUUUCAAAAGUUCUAAUAUUUUCAAAUAUAUCCCUCUGGUUUGUUACCGUUAUAGAAUUAUUUAUAUUUUAAGUGAAAUGUCAAUUUUGCCAUCACAAAUAUGUCCCUCCAAAAAUCACAACAGUAUAAUAUAAGAAUGACAAAAAUGUCAAGUUAUCUCAUAAUUUAAUCAGAGUUAAGCAUUUAACCUAUGAUUAGCUAAAGUUUUCUAACGAAUUCUAACGGCAGGGACAUUUUUUAAAACAUUAGGAUUUUUUGUAAGAACAAUAUAUAAAAGUUGAAUUUUAUAGGAAUAAUAUAUGAAAGUUGAAUUUUGUAGAAAUAUAUUUAUUAUUCAAUAUGUUUGUAGGAAAGUACAUGAAAUUAACCCAAAAGUAAAAUUUCAAUUAUUAUUGUUAUGAAAAUCCCAACUCCAUUCAUCGGGCCGCAUCCCCCUCCCUCUUUCUUCGCUCAUCUCUACCCCAAUCUCCCUCCCUCCGCCCUCUCCGCACCCCCCAAGCCGGAGCUACCUCCCUCCGCCGACUCCUGCUGACACCUUCCCCACCGCCCCUCGCCUUGCCAUGGCUGGAGAGGCGCCGCGCCACUUUCCUCCUCCAACUGGUAAAGAAGGAAUCAUUAGAUCUUUGGUUUAUAUAUAUAUUGAGUCCGGCUACUAUACUUUUAUGAGUAUUGGUUUCCUUAUACUCAUAAAUUUUUGGCCCUUAGAUUUAUUCCAUGAUCAUUUCCAUCCGUUAGAUCAUAUUAUUCAACCAACUACCCACUCAACCCUAGGAGACCAUUAUCAUUCUAAGUGGGGACCACCAUCAUCCUAACCACACAUCCCAUCAAUCAACAGUUAAAAAUUUAUUAGUACAAGAGGUUCUAUACUCAUAAGAGUAUAGUAGCCCCAGCCUAUAUAUAUAUAUAUAUAUAUAUAUAUAUUCAAUA
rnacentral:lncRNA from 1 species